CCACACUGCAUCCUGGAGACUGAGGGCCAGGCUCAGGCCUUGAUCGCCUUUAUACAGGGGUCUGUGGGAGGAGCCACAGGAGCAGGCAGCAGGGGGCUUGUCCAGUCAGAAAUUAGCUAAUGAUCCUAAAGAAGCCCCAGUAUACAGUACACCAGCUGCAUGUGUUGCAUCAGAGGCCUGCUGGGAUUUGGCGUGGAAACCAUCGUCUCUGCCAUGUGGAGGCUAGUGUCCCUGUUCCUGCUGCAUUUGUGGUGUCUGAGGGAGAAAUAUGCAGAGUUUAGGAGAACCAGUCUAUUAUUAUGGUACAUUGGACGCAUCCCCUGGUGUACGGUAGAAACCAUCUGAGCUUUACAAGUAUUAUUUCCUCUGAGAUUAUGGGAUUUCAAUUUAAUGCAAUCCUUAGCUAUGUUUUGCAGUGAGGACUGUUCUUUCCAACAGCUGCCUGAGCAUUGCCUCAAGAUAAAUCCCCCUUGAUCAAAUAAGGCGAAUUUAGGCUGAUGAAUUGCUCAUUGAGGCUGCUUUUCUAUGCAAGGUGAAGUCUGA